GAUGAACGCUGGCGGCGUGCCUAAUACAUGCAAGUCGAGCGAACAGACGAGGAGCUUGCUCCUCUGACGUUAGCGGCGGACGGGUGAGUAACACGUGGAUAACCUACCUAUAAGACUGGGAUAACUUCGGGAAACCGGAGCUAAUACCGGAUAACAUGUUGAACCGCAUGGUUCAACAGUGAAGGACGGUCUUGCUGUCACUUAUAGAUGGAUCCGCGCCGCAUUAGCUAGUUGGUAAGGUAACGGCUUACCAAGGCAACGAUGCGUAGCCGACCUGAGAGGGUGAUCGGCCACACUGGAACUGAGACACGGUCCAGACUCCUACGGGAGGCAGCAGUAGGGAAUCUUCCGCAAUGGGCGAAAUCCUGACGGAGCGACGCCGCGUGAGUGAAGAAGGUCUUCGGAUCGUAAAACUCUGUUAUUAGGGAAGAACAAAUGUGUAAGUAACUAUGCACGUCUUGACGGUACCUAAUCAGAAAGCCACGGCUAACUACGUG
rnacentral:rRNA from 1 species